UUUCCGCGCCUAAAAAAAAAAACCCUAAUCUCCCUUUCUUCUUGCUCCCCAAUCCAGGAUUCGCCUCCACCGUCGAGUUGUUUUUUUGGGGGUUCCUCUAUCAGUAGGUUGAAUUUGAAUUUACGAGCUGUGAUUUGUUGAAGAUAUGUAUAGGGAUCGAGGAGGAGGAGGGGGGAUUGGUGGUUCUUCGAAAUCGGAGAUCGUAGGUGGUACCUUGGAUCGGAAGCGUAUCAACGAUGCUCUCGAUAAGCACCUGGAGAAGACUUCUCCGUCUACUUCAAGAGGUCUUCAUAGUAAGGAGAAGGAGAGGCUCUCUGUGCCGUCCACUUCGACUGGUAAACCACAGCUUGAUCAUCGUUCUGCCUCUCUAUCCAAGAAUAAAUGCUCCGAUGAGGAAUCUGAAACAGACAGCGAAGAAUCAGAUGUCAGUGGUUCAGACGGAGAUGAUACAUCAUGGAUUUCGUGGUUUUGCAAUUUG
rnacentral:misc_RNA from 1 species